AGGACGAACGCUGGCGGCGUGCCUAAUACAUGCAAGUCGAACGGUCUUUUCUAUGGAAGCUUGCUUCCACUGAGAAGAUAGUGGCGAACGGGUGAGUAACACGUGGGUAACCUGCCCAUAAGAGGGGGAUAACAUCCGGAAACGGGUGCUAAUACCGCAUAGUUUUCUUGAUCGCAUGAUUGAGAAAGGAAAGACGGCCUUUGUGCUGUCGCUUAUGGAUGGACCCGCGGCGUAUUAGUUAGUUGGUGAGGUAGCGGCUCACCAAGACGAUGAUACGUAGCCGACCUGAGAGGGUGAUCGGCCACAUUGGGACUGAGACACGGCCCAAACUCCUACGGGAGGCAGCAGUAGGGAAUCUUCCGCAAUGGACGAAAGUCUGACGGAGCAACGCCGCGUGAGUGAAAGAAGGUUUUCGGAUCGUAAAACUCUGUUGUCAGAGAAGAACAAGUUGGAGAGUAACUGCUCCAGCCUUGACGGUAUCUGACCAGAAAGCCACGGCUAACUACGUGCCAGCCGCCGC
rnacentral:rRNA from 1 species